GACGAACGCUGGCGGCGUGCUUAACACAUGCAAGUCGAACGGAAAGGCCCUGCUUUUGUGGGGUGCUCGAGUGGCGAACGGGUGAGUAACACGUGAGUAACCUGCCCUUGACUUUGGGAUAACUUCAGGAAACUGGGGCUAAUACCGGAUAGGAGCUCCUGCUGCAUGGUGGGGGUUGGAAAGUUUCGGCGGUUGGGGAUGGACUCGCGGCUUAUCAGCUUGUUGGUGGGGUAGUGGCUUACCAAGGCUUUGACGGGUAGCCGGCCUGAGAGGGUGAACGGCCACAAUGGGACUGAGAGACGGCCCAGACUCCUAUGGUAGGCAGCAGUGGGGAAUAUUGCACAAUGGGCGGAAGCCUGAUGCAGCAACGCCGCGUGCGGGAUGACGGCCUUCGGGUUGUAAACCGCUUUCGCCUGUGACGAAGCGUGAGUGACGGUAAUGGGUAAAGAAGCACCGGCUAACUACGUG
rnacentral:rRNA from 1 species